GGGGCUGUGGCUCAGAGGUAGAGCACUCACCUAGCAUGUGUGAGGCCCUGGGGUUCAAUCCUCAGCACCACA
rnacentral:tRNA from 1 species